rnacentral:rRNA from 1 species
UAGGGAAUCUUCCACAAUGGACGAAAGUCUGAUGGAGCAACGCCGCGUGAGUGAAGAAGGGUUUCGGCUCGUAAAACUCUGUUGUUGAAGAAGAACAUAUCUGAGAGUAACUGUUCAGGUAUUGACGGUAUUUAACCAGAAAGCCACGGCUAAAUACGUGCUAG